GGGCCAUUAGCUCAAUCGGUAGAGCAGCGGACUCUUAAUCCGUUGGUUUCAGGUUCGAGUCCUGAAUGGCCCA
rnacentral:tRNA from 1 species